CAGCGGUGGGGGAAGCAUCCCAACAAGGAGAACUAAACUGGGGGAGAAGGAUUUGUCUAACUUGACUAGCUACCCUUUGGGCCAAGUGAAGAUGUUGAUCUUUUCUCCAUGCAAAGGUUCCUCUUUCACUGAACAAAACAUUAAUACAGAGCAACUAGUCUGACACAGGUCCGCAAGGCUUACUUCUCCAGAAUCAUCAGCCUGCUCUUUUCCUGCAUCCAUACUUUGAGUAGCCUUUAUAGUCCUGCUACAAACUGCUUACAGUGGACUUGGCUUAUCAUCUCCAAUACCCAUCGGAUUUUCAGUUUCACCAUGCUUAACUGACCCGAGCAGAUUGUUCUUCCAGCAUCACAGCAGAACCAACACACCAGUGAAAGGGAUUCUUUUCAGCUACACGCCUCAUCAGCACUGGCAUUGAUACGGUUUGGCAAAGCAGCCUCUACUGCUUCCUGGUAGCAACACCUCCAUUAGAAGCCUCUGUGUGCACAGGUGAUGCAGGACCCUGGACCCACUCUGGACACUUAUCUGAAGGCAGCCACAAAGAUCCAG
ensembl:lncRNA